AUUGAACGCUGGCGGCAUGCCUUACACAUGCAAGUUGAACGGUAACAGGUCUUCGGAUGCUGACGAGUGGCGAACGGGUGAGUAAUACAUCGGAACGUGCCCGAGAGUGGGGGAUAACGAGGCGAAAGCUUUGCUAAUACCGCAUACGAUCUCAGGAUGAAAGCAGGGGACCGCAAGGCCUUGCGCUCACGGAGCGGCCGAUGGCAGAUUAGGUAGUUGGUGGGAUAAAAGCUUACCAAGCCGACGAUCUGCAGCUGGUCUGAGAGGACGACCAGCCACACUGGGACUGAGACACGGCCCAGACUCCUACGGGAGGCAGCAGUGGGGAAUUUUGGACAAUGGGCGCAAGCCUGAUCCAGCCAUGCCGCGUGCAGGAUGAAGGCCUUCGGGUUGUAAACUGCUUUUGUACGGAACGAAAAGACUCCUUCUAAUAAAGGGGGUCCAUGACGGUACCGUAAGAAUAAGCACCGGCUAACUACGUGCCAGCAGCCGCAGUAACAC
rnacentral:rRNA from 1 species